CAUCAUGGAGUCAAGAUCUUGGGACUUGGGACUUGGGAUCACGGACCCUAGACAAUAUAAUAAUUUUGAUCUAAUUGUUGAAGGAGUAUCUAAUGCUUCAGCGCUGACCAAUUUAAAAUUUGUGUUGGUUAACUCGAGCAGUAAGAAUAUAUAAAAAUGGCUGCAGUUGGCAAAGAUUUAGAAAAACCAACAGAUGAGGUGCCUCAGGUCCAUCGCAUCCGUAUUAACCGAUUUAAUAAAUCGAGCCAAGAAACAAAAGCCGCGUGAAGGGACCAGUUCGCAUGCCAACGAAAAUUUUACGUAUUACCACACGUAAAACACCUUGUGGUGUUUCAGUCAUCGAUCUGCACUCUCCAUCUGAAAUUGUGAAGCAAAUCACUUCCAUCAGUAUUGAACCAGGUGUAGACUUACUUUAAACGAAGUAAGUGGGAACUUGUCGAGAAUCGGCCCAAUAAUAUACAUAUAUAAUAAAAUAGUAUAAACAUAAUCAGAAGAGUCGCUGACCGCUGAGUUUCCCUCUCCAGAAAAGUGUGAACAAUGAACGAA